GAUGAACGCUGGCGGCGUGCCUAAUACAUGCAAGUCGAGCGAACAGACGAGGAGCUUGCUCCUCUGACGUUAGCGGCGGACGGGUGAGUAACACGUGGAUAACCUACCUAUAAGACUGGGAUAACUUCGGGAAACCGGAGCUAAUACCGGAUAAUAUAUUGAACCGCAUGGUUCAAUAGUGAAAGACGGUUUUGCUGUCACUUAUAGAUGGAUCCGCGCCGCAUUAGCUAGUUGGUAAGGUAACGGCUUACCAAGGCAACGAUGCGUAGCCGACCUGAGAGGGUGAUCGGCCACACUGGAACUGAGACACGGUCCAGACUCCUACGGGAGGCAGCAGUAGGGAAUCUUCCGCAAUGGGCGAAAGCCUGACGGAGCAACGCCGCGUGAAUGAUGAAGGUCUUCGGAUCGUAAAACUCUGUUAUUAGGGAAGAACAAAUGUGUAAGUAACUAUGCACGUCUUGAUGGUACCUAAUCAGAAAGCCACGGCUAACUACGUG
rnacentral:rRNA from 1 species